rnacentral:tRNA from 1 species
GUUUCUAUAGUUGAAUGACAACAAUGAUUUUUCAUGUCAUUAGUCGUGGUUGGAGUCCACGUAGGAAUA